rnacentral:rRNA from 1 species
GAUGAACGCUGGCGGCACGCCUAACACAUGCAAGUCGAACGGGACUCAGAAGUGCUUGCACUUCUGACGUCUAGUGGCGGACGGGUGAGUAACACGUGAGCAACCUGCCUUUCAGAGGGGAAUAACGUUUGGAAACGAACGCUAAUACCGCAUAAAAUAGCUUUAUGGCAUCAUAGAGUUAUCAAAGAUUUAUCGCUGAAAGAUGGGCUCGCGUCUGAUUAGAUAGUUGGUGAGGUAAUGGCUCACCAAGUCGACGAUCAGUAGCCGGACUGAGAGGUUGAUCGGCCACAUUGGGACUGAGACACGGCCCAGACUCCUACGGGAGGCAGCAGUGGGGGAUAUUGCACAAUGGGGGAAACCCUGAUGCAGCGAUGCCGCGUGAGGGAAGAAGGUUUUCGGAUUGUAAACCUCUGUCUUUAGGGAAGAAAGAAAUGACGGUACCUAAGGAGGAAGCCACGGCUAACUAUGUGCCAGCAGCCGCCGUAAAUUU